GCCGGGCGAGGUGGCGGGCGCCUGUAGUCCCAGCUACUCGGGAGACUGAGGCAGGAGAAUGGCGUGAACCCGGGAGGCGGAGCUUGCAGUGAGCUGAGAUCCGGCCACUGCACUCCAGCCUGGGUGACAGAGCAAGACUCUGUCUCAAAAAAAAAAAAAAAAAAAAAAAGCUCUAUUUUACCACAAACUUUUUUUUUUUUUUUUUUUUUUUUUUUUUUUUGAGAUGGAGUCUCGCCCUGUCACCCAGGCUGGAGUGCAGUGGCCGGAUCUCAGCUCACUGCAAGCUCCGCCUCCCGGGUUCACGCCAUUCUCCUGCCUCAG
rnacentral:SRP_RNA from 1 species